rnacentral:lncRNA from 1 species
CCUAGGGAAAGAAAUACAUUGGCAGAGUGCUUAGGGUUUCAUUUUUCUGUAAAACAGAAAAAGCAAGAUACUCUGGGGCUGGCUCUGAUGAUCGGACAAGAGAUUAUGUAAUUACCCUCGACGUGCAGCUUCUACGGAGCCAAGAAAUGGCUUUAACUCUUCAGAAGGCCCAUGUUGACUUCAAACAACUUCAAAUCUGCAGACCGGAGCAUCUGGACAGAUGGCAGAUAGCUCAGAGUGGACACAUCCGGCCCGUCCACCACAGAGAAUCUGUGACCUUUGAGAUGGAGUUCGUGUUCGGAUCAGAGUUGGGCUUUUGGAAGAGGAAAGGAAAACUGAAGCGGAAGGAAUGGAGCUUGCAGUCCUACGGCCUCGUUCUGAGGGAGGAGGCCGGAAGUCAGUAGCAGCAACUGGACUCCACGCCCAGCUGUCAGUCACUGCUGAUCUUUGCUGACAGGCUUUGCAGAGCUCCAAUGAAAAGCUCCAUCUUCAGAUCUCAGUUUUGCCGAAACUCACAACCCCACAGAGAAUUCAGGAGCACUUAUGGAGCACCUGGCACACAGUGUGUCCUAGAUGAGCGUGACAUCAGUGCUCUCCGCCUAAAUGAUGCAAGCAUGUACUUUGCUACUCUGUGUUUGUGAGAGAGAACUGUGCUCCUAUUUGAGGCUGCGAGUUCCUUUCUCUCUCUCUCGCUCUCCGUCUUUCUGCAGCUCUGUUUCAUUGUAUUUAAAACAUAGUUUAGAGAAGAUUUGAAGAAACACAUAGGCACUUAGAACAAAGGUAUGAAAUGACAAGGAAUAAUUGUGUAGUUUCCGAAAUAUUUAAAAUAGAACUUGUGUUUUUAAAGUAUAAUCCCACAGCAUGAGAAUCAUGACACCUGAAAUUCAGAAGGAACCCUUUCUAGUUCACAGAGGAGCAGAGAGGGCCGUUGUGUGCUGCAGGGAGGGCACAGGUGAGCCGCAGGGACCCCUAGACCCAGCCAUGCUGGGGCGGGCUGGCAGGAGGACCCUGAGGCCUCUGGCAUGGGUGGCCUCGGCUUCAGCGUGGGGAGGAGCUGCCCCAUGGGGCCUCUGUGGUGCAGGAACUCAGCAGAAGCCUCCAGGUUCUGAAGUAAGUCCCCGCUGGAGCAGUCUCUGCUUUAAAGUUCUCACUUUUGUCAGUCCACGUCUGCAGUACACAGGAUCACAUUCCUCGUGGGAAGUGGCUCGUGCACGUAAUACUCAUCGUUCUUUCUAGUCCCCUCUGCCUCCCUCUGCUCUCCUUCCCAUGACACCCCAGAAAUAAGCAGUGGGGACUCAGGGCACCCGCCUGGAGGGAAGGCUUGGUGAGCCCUGGGCACCGUUCUCCCCGACUCUGGACAGCAGGGCUGGCCUCGGCUGACCUGUGUGCUCCUGUUUCUCCCUGGGACGUCCUGGCCAUGGAGGCC